rnacentral:rRNA from 1 species
UGCCAGCCGCCGCGGUAAUACUGUAGGUGCAAGCGUUAAUCGGAAUUACUGGGCGUAAAGCGCGCGUAGGCGGCUAAGUCAGUCAGAUGUGAAAGCCCCGGGCUCAACCUGGGAACUGCAUUUGAUACUGCUUAGCUAGAGUAUGGGAGGGGGUUGUGGAAUUUCCUGUGUAGCGGUGAAAUGCGUAGAUAUAGGAAGGAACACCAGUGGCGAAGGCGACACCCUGGACCAAUACUGACACUGAGGUGCGAAAGCGUGGGGAGCAAACAGGAUUAGAUA